rnacentral:other from 1 species
GUUGCACUGGCGUUAUGACCUAUUUGUCUGAGCCGAUGCGUUCUGAACGGGAGCUUCUCUAUCGCGGUUGUGUGCUUCCCUCUUGAGGGGAUACCUGAUGCCGGGAUGCAGCGCCCACCUUCGCUUGAAGGGUUCAGUUCACAAUAGGUCAUAACGCCAGUGCCGCG